GACGAACGCUGGCGGCGUGCUUAACACAUGCAAGUCGAACGGAAAGGCCCUGCUUUUGUGGGGUGCUCGAGUGGCGAACGGGUGAGUAACACGUGAGUAACCUGCCCUUGACUUUGGGAUAACUUCAGGAAACUGGGGCUAAUACCGGAUAGGAGCUCCUGCUGCAUGGUGGGGGUUGGAAAGUUUCGGCGGUUGGGGAUGGACUCGCGGCUUAUCAGCUUGUUGGUGGGGUAGUGGCUUACCAAGGCUUUGACGGGUAGCCGGCCUGAGAGGGUGACCGGCCACAUUGGGCCUGAGAGACGGCCCAGACUCCUACGGGAGGCAGCAGUGGGGAAUAUUGCACAAUGGGCGGAAGCCUGAUGCAGCAACGCCGCGUGCGGGAUGACGGCCUUCGGGUUGUAAACCGCUUUCGCCUGUGACGAAGCGUGAGUGACGGUAAUGGGUAAAGAAGCACCGGCUAACUACGUG
rnacentral:rRNA from 1 species